UACAUAGGGUGCAAGCGUUGUCCGGAAUUAUUGGGCGUAAAGAGCUCGUAGGCGGUUUGUCGCGUCUGCUGUGAAAACUCGGGGCUUAACUCCGGGCCUGCAGUGGGUACGGGCAGACUAGAGUGCGGUAGGGGAGACUGGAAUUCCUGGUGUAGCGGUGAAAUGCGCAGAUAUCAGGAGGAACACCGGUGGCGAAGGCGGGUCUCUGGGCCGUAACUGACGCUGAGGAGCGAAAGCGUGGGGAGCGAACAGG
rnacentral:rRNA from 1 species